CAGUCUGUUUCCACAGUGCUGGGAAAUUCUAAAAUUGCUUCUUGAGCUUAAUGAUGUUUUUUUCCUGGAAAUCCCCCAGAUGACAGUACAUCAGCAAAAGAAUAUUGACAUGGUCUGGGUACCCCCAGAUGUGCUGUGACAGGAGGCUGCACUGUUAAUCAUACUGUCACAGCCCAGUUCUGCAAAGCAAUAAACCAGUCUGGACUAAGUUACUGAAGGUCUUUGAAGUACUGGAAGACCCAUAAAUAAGCUUUUCAGGAGGGCACAGCACACCCAAAUCAUCUCAUCGCUUCAUCUGGAAUCAAUCACAGUAGGUCCACUGAUGUCAAGAAAACUAUGCUCAUUUGCAUCAGCACGUGACCUGAACAGCCCUUCUCAGAUGAGGAUUCAGUGACCAUAAUGAUUACAGGCCCUGUCUCUUUUGUGCAUAAAACCAGCCAGGAAGGAGGUGAGAAGCUGAACAGCAUUGUGAUCAAUUAUUUUAGCUUGUGUCCUUUU